GCCGCUUUAGCUCAGUUGGUUAGAGCGCUGGUUUGUGGAACCAGAGGUCCUCAGUUCGAGCCUGAGAAGCGGUACCA
rnacentral:tRNA from 1 species